UCCCUUUAGUUUGAUUCCUGGCUCAGGAUGAACGCCGGCGGUGUGCCUAAUACAUGCAAGUCGAACGCGUUGGCCCAAUUGAUUGAUGGUGCUUGCACCUGAUUGAUUUUGGUCGCCAACGAGUGGCGGACGGGUGAGUAACACGUAGGUAACCUGCCCAGAAGCGGGGGACAACAUUUGGAAACAGAUGCUAAUACCGCAUAACAGCGUUGUUCGCAUGAACAACGCUUAAAAGAUGGCUUCUCGCUAUCACUUCUGGAUGGACCUGCGGUGCAUUAGCUUGUUGGUGGGGUAACGGCCUACCAAGGCGAUGAUGCAUAGCCGAGUUGAGAGACUGAUCGGCCACAAUGGGACUGAGACACGGCCCAUACUCCUACGGGAGGCAGCAGUAGGGAAUCUUCCACAAUGGGCGCAAGCCUGAUGGAGCAACACCGCGUGAGUGAAGAAGGGUUUCGGCUCGUAAAGCUCUGUUGUUAAAGAAGAACACGUAUGAGAGUAACUGUUCAUACGUUGACGGUAUUUAACCAGAAAGUCACGGCUAACUACGUGCCAGCAGCCGCGGUAAUACGUAGGUGGCAAGCGUUAUCCGGAUUUAUUGGGCGUAAAGAGAGUGCAGGCGGUUUUCUAAGUCUGAUGUGAAAGCCUUCGGCUUAACCGGAGAAGUGCAUCGGAAACUGGAUAACUUGAGUGCAGAAGAGGGUAGUGGAACUCCAUGUGUAGCGGUGGAAUGCGUAGAUAUAUGGAAGAACACCAGUGGCGAAGGCGGCUACCUGGUCUGCAACUGACGCUG
rnacentral:rRNA from 1 species